rnacentral:hammerhead_ribozyme from 1 species
AUCCAGCUGACGAGUCCCAAAUGGGACGAAACGUGCGUCCUGAAU